CUGCAAAAUAUGUCUUUUUAAAUAUUCUUUGCAAAAAUGUUAUUUGGGUGAUAAGGUAAGUGUAAUAAAUAAAUUUUUUGUCAACUGUUUAGUUUUUUGUGACUCUGACUUAUUUUUGUACAUUAAUUUAUAAUUUUAACUAAAAGUAUUUAAACUUUAGUGCCUAAAAAUGGGAAUAACUGAAGAUAUAUCAAGCAAAAAAAAAAUUCUGAAAUGUCUGCUUUACUAAAACAUGCAAAUCACUCUCAAAGAAAAAUUGCAUAUUUUAAAGAUAAAAGUCUUGACAGUAAGCAGAAUUAAAGGUGAACCUCAUAAAAAAAUACCUGUAUAAAGUGCCAGAAGUGGAAAAUGUGGAAGGCAAAACAUCACUACCUUGAGAGAUGAUAAUUUGUUACAACUGUGUUUGAAAUCGAAGAAAAAGUACAAAUGCAGUUAAAUCAUAUGAGAAACUCAUAUCAAGAUUUCUAACAAAAUUACAAAGCAUCAAAUAGCAAAGUUGAUGGUGUGAUCAGUUAUAAGUGGUAAAGGCAAUAGUCUUCUUAAUUUAAUUUAAGGGAUAUUGAACCAAGAUAUAUAUAAAAAACUAUUAGCUACUAAAUUAUUUCCUCAGUUACAUGAUUAGUUUCCUGAUCCACUCAAAGGAAUCUCUAUGCAUGAUUCUGCCCAAAUCUUUAAAGCUAUAUCAGUGGCAAGGUAUUUAGAGUCAAUGUUUAUGCUUUACCAUGGCCUGGCAAUACUCUCGACUUGAAUAGAAAACCUUGGAACUUUCAAAGCAGAUAGUUGCAUGAAAUUAUAACCAACAAAAAAAUCAGGAGAUAAAAGCAAAUGUAAAAAAUUGUAUUUAAAGUAUGCCAAGAAGGAUACGAGCAGUAAUUGAUGCAAAAGGCUGCACAACCAAAUACUAAUAAACAUUUUGCAUUAUGAGUUUUCUUAAAUAAAUGCGUAUAUAAGCUAGUAACACCAAUAUUUAUAUAAAAAUUUAACAUAUGAAUAUAUAAAAGAGCUUAUAAUGGUUAA